GUGAGUCAUCGAAUCUUUGAACGCACCUUGCGCUCCUUGGUAUUCUGAGGAGCAUGCCUGUUUGAGUGUCAUUUAAUAUAUAUCAACCCUUCUCAUUGUUGAAGUGGUUUGGAUGUGGGGGUUUGCUGGCCUCUUGAAUGAGUUCAGCUCCCCUGAAAUGCAUUAGCAGAACAACCCUGUUCAUUGGUGUGAUAACUAUCUACGCUAUUGGAUGUGAGGGGCAGUUCAGCUUUCUAAUGGUCCUUGGACAAUUUAUCAUUUAUGUGACCUCAAAUCAGGUAGGGAUACCCGCUGAACUUAA
rnacentral:rRNA from 1 species